rnacentral:guide_RNA from 1 species
AUUUACCUAUCAUCAUUACUGUCAGAUCUGUAUUGUGAUUUA